CUUAAAGGAAUUGACGGGGCCCGCACAAGCGGUGGAGCAUGUGGUUUAAUUCGAUGAUACGCGAGGAACCUUACCUGGGCUCAAAUGUAUGUUGACGUAUUCUGAAAGGGAUACUUCUUCGGACAAUAUACAAGGUGCUGCAUGGUUGUCGUCAGCUCGUGCCGUGAGGUGUCGGGUUAAGUCCCAUAACGAGCGCAACCCCUAUCAUUAGUUGCCAUCAGGUCAAGCUGGGGACUCUAAUGAAACUGCCUACGCAAGUAGUGAGGAAGGUGGGGAUGACGUCAAAUCAGCACGGCCCUUACGUCCAGGGCUACACACGUGCUACAAUGGCCGGUACAAAGGGCAGCUACCUGGUGACAGGAUGCUAAUCUCAAAAGCCGGUCUCAGUUCGGAUCGGAGUCUGCAACCCGACUCCGUGAAGUUGGAUUCGCUAGUAAUCGCGCAUCAGCCAUGGCGCGGUGAAUACGUUCCCGGGCCUU
rnacentral:rRNA from 1 species